GCAGGGAUAACCCAACCCUCCAAUUAACGUGCCUGAGCCAGUCUCCUCCUACGUCUGGAACUUUAGGAGAGCUGCCCACAGCAGAAUGACUCGGCAAGGAGAAGGGCUUGUCGGGUCUAGCUGGGAGCGGAGGUGGGCCAGGCUGCCAGAGGGAGGCUCUGGGUGGUGCCCUUAAGAGUCUCCGUCAUGAGCUGUUUUGCACUGUGAGCAUACCUCCAGAGAAGUGCCGAAAGCUUGCAUUCUUGCAGGUAAUACACCCAGCACCCAGAUCAAGAAACGGAACAUAAUCGGCACCCCAGAACCCCACCCUAAAUAUGUAAUUUUAAAAAAGAUUUUAAUAAAUAUCUUUUAGCACGCCCUUUA